rnacentral:rRNA from 1 species
GGAUGCGAUCAUACCAGCACUAAAGCACCAGAUCCCAUCAGAACUCCGAAGUUAAGCGUGCUUGGGCGAGAGUAGUACUAGGAUGGGUGACCUCCUGGGAAGUCCUCGUGUUGCAUUC